rnacentral:tRNA from 1 species
UGGGGUAUAGCCAAGCGGUAAGGCAUCGGGUUUUGGUCUCGUGAUCCUAGGUUCGAAUCCUAGUACCCCAG